rnacentral:rRNA from 1 species
AACGAACGCUGGCGGCAUGCCUAACACAUGCAAGUCGAACGAAACGUCCGGGCCUUGUGGCGCACGUGUGCGUAAGGCGUGGGAACCUGCCCUUAGGUUCGGAAUACCUCAGAGAAAUUUGACCUAAUACCGGAUGAUGUCUUCGGACCAAAGAUUUAUCGCCUUUAGAUGGGCCCUCGUUGGAUUAGCUAGUUGGUGGGGUAAAGGCAUACCAAGGCGACGAUGCAUAGCUGGUCUGAGAGGAGGAUCAGCCACACUGGGAAUGAGACACGGCCCAGAAUGCUACGGGAGGGAGCAGUGGGGAAUAUUGGACGAGGGAGGAAAGCCUGACACAGCAAUGCGGGGUAAGUGAUGAAGGCCGUAGGGUUGUAAAGCUCUUUUAGCCGAGAUGAUAAUGACGGUAUCGGGAGAAUAAGCUCCGGCUAACUACGUG